rnacentral:rRNA from 1 species
AGUGAACGCUGGAGGUAGGCCUAACACAUGCAAGUAGAACGAGUGGCGGACGGGUGAGGAAUACGUCGGGAUCUACUCAGUAGAGGGGGAUUACGAUGGGAAACAUCCACUAAUAACGCAUACGAUUGAAUGAGUCGGUGUCGGAUUAGCUAGUAGGCUGGGUAAAGGCCCACCAAGGCGACGAUCCGGAGCUGGUAUGAGAGGAUGAGAUGCCACACUGGAACUGCGACACGGGCCAGACUCCUACGUGAGGCAGCAGUGGGGAAUAUUGGACAAUGGGCGCAAGCCUGAUCCAGCCAUACCGCGUGAGUGAAGAAGGCCUUCGGGUUGUAAAGCCCUUUUGUUGGGAAAGCGGUACCCAAAGAAUAAGCACCGGCUAACUUCGUGCCAGCAGCCGCGGUAAUAC